rnacentral:lncRNA from 1 species
UAGUGUUUUGUAUUCAUCAAAAUCCAUUAGGGGAUCAACAAUCUCCUCCUUUUUGAUGAUGACAAAACACUGAGUAUAUGCAAAAUUCGAAAUUUAAACAUAUACACAGUAUUUGAUCAGAUAUACAAGUCUAAUGUUUUGAUUGGAGCUAGAUACAAUGUGCAUAAUUCAAAAUAGUCAAUUUUCAGUUCUAUCCUUAUGCAUAAAAUUGAUCUUAAUAGCUCUUGAGCAAUUUUAGCAUAUCAACUGAAUUUGAAUCAAGUUAAAAUGAAAUAUUGAUGCUAAAGAUAAUUGAAGGCUAAGUUCUUUUUGACUCCCCCUUUCUUUUCCAGAAGGGCAAUUAUUUUAAAGCCAAUAUUCUUCAAUUUUAUCUUUUCUAAUUCAACUUUGAAGUAUGAAUUUCGUAUUUUGCAUUCCAAUGUAUCCAAUAUCCAUAUUGGUUCUACUCCCCCUUUUUGCAUUUCAUAAUUAAGUUAAGUUC